rnacentral:rRNA from 1 species
AUUGAACGCUGGCGGCAGGCCUAACACAUGCAAGUCGAGCGAGUGGCGGACGGGUGAGUAAUGUCUGGGAAACUGCCUGAUGGAGGGGGAUAACUACUGGAAACGGUAGCUAAUACCGCAUACCAUCGGAUGUGCCCAGAUGGGAUUAGCUAGUAGGUGGGGUAAUGGCUCACCUAGGCGACGAUCCCUAGCUGGGCUGAGAGGAUGACCAGCCACACUGGAACUGAGACACGGUCCAGACUCCUACGGGAGGCAGCAGUGGGGAAUAGUGCACAAUGGGCGCAAGCCUGAUGCAGCCAUGCCGCGUGUGUGAAGAAGGCCUUCGGGUUGUAAAGUACUUUCAGCGGGGAGGCGUUACUCGCAGAAGAAGCACCGGCUAACUCCGUGCCAGCAGCCGCGGUAAUUC